GAUAAGGUAGGGGCUUUCCACGGCUGAAAAAUCGAGGAGGAGAGUCGAGAAAGGUGUACGGUGGAGUUGCAGUACGUGGCCUAUUUACACACGAUGCCGAGAUUUACAAGUAUCAACUCGAGCAAGCGUCGAACCUGAGAGGAUGCAAACGCGACGAUAAUCGAAUUCAUCGAAUCCUGUUCGCGUGAUGUCGAGCCAAGGCCAUCGCGAGAAGGCGUGCUUGGAGCUUUGCGAAACGCACAGCAUCGAUUAUAAGAUCUUGCUUCAUGGUGCUCCUCGAGAUCUCGGGAGGAGAUCCGCGACGAUAGAGUGUUCAUCGCUGAUGAAACAAUAACGCCGGGUCGUCAAUUGAGAAUCUCGAUUAAUCGUAUAUACGCAGCCUAUACCUUCGGCACAAAUUAUAUCCUAAUUUUUUGUAUCGAAGAACUCAAACUGUUCGAUGAAAUCCCUAUCGGUCUACACGACGAAGCUCUCUGACGAUCGUACAUCGAAUUUCGAGACGAAAGCGAGUUAGUAAACGGCCACGCUCAAUGCUUCCUAGCAAAAGACGGAAUCGCGAUCGAGUUCACUUGAUCCCCGCUACCCUGCCAGACAAGUCGUCCACGAGGAAAUCGAUAAUCGAUGUGUGUCUGCUCGACAGUUGAUCCUGGAGGAUCAAGGACCCCUCCCCCCCGCGUCUAAACGAACGAAGCGAUGAUCAACGACUUGUAAAUCGGCGCGCUCGAUGAAUCGUCGCAGAAUCGAGCGUCGAGCAGCAGCCAGCACCACCCGAAGAAGAAGAAGCCGUAGAAGAAGCUUAGUCGCGUAGCAUCGUUUCGAUCACGAGAGAGAGCCGUCCUGGGUAAUGCGCGGAAGCAGCUCCGAACUCCUGCUGGAGGCGAGCUGCAGCCAGUGCCAGAGCGAGUACGAUCGGCAGCAGGGUCGGGACAGCGGCGAGCCCGAAUUCCACGAGCGGGAGCUACGUCGUCGCAAGCUGUUGGAGCUCGGGUUCGGCGCGUCGCGGCGCCGACCGCCACGGCGUACCUGCCGUCAGCGGUUUAAUUUCUACGCGACAUCGGCGUUGGCCUUCGUCGCUACCUCAGGCGGCGCGGCGCUCCUCUUCCUGGUACCGCUCUACGUCGAUCCGGCCAUCAGCACCCUAGCCGCGGACUUCUCGCCGGAGCCGGUCAUCUGCACGACCUCGCGGCGCGAGAACCUAGCCGGUCUCUUCAACUGCACAUGGAGCUCGUGCCGCGAGGGAUGCACCAGUGACGUGUACAGCUGUACCCACAUAUACGUCACUUAUACGCCGUGGAGUAACAACAGUAUGAAGAACGACACUGGCGGCAGAAACACCGCUGCAAACACCACGGCUGAUCCGGGUACCGUCACUGCCGUGUCCUCCCCGGGGGACGUCGAGGCGGUGCUGCUGGUGAACAUCAAGGGCUGUGGAUAUCCACCGACAGUCGAUUGCAAGAACUUCACCCGCGAGUUGGGUUACGAGGGCGCCAAGUUUCCCUGUCAUUAUAGCCGGGUGAACGGUAGCAUAGUGCUGGCGAACUAUAAUCGCGAGGCACAGGUCGCUACCAUCAUGCACUUCUUCGCGGCGCCUUUCGUAGUGACUCUCGCGACCAGCGUCGCGCUGUGUGUGAUGCACUGUGACUGCAGGUGCACGCCGCCACCGCGACACCCGCCGCGCGGCAUGAGAAGAUCCAGGGGCAACGACCUCAGCUGCUGCAUGAGUAUAAAAAAUCGAUAACUGGUUAGAAGCGUGCCAGAAGUCGUCCGAUUUAGAAGGUGUAUUUGACGAGGCAAAUAAACUUUCUAAAACUAUACGUAAGACAAAGACGACUUAACAAUGAUGUUACUACCACCGUACUUACUGUCGUCGUGAAACGAUGCUAAACUCUUUCGGCUGCAAAUACUGCCUUAGAAGAAAAGAGUGAAUCGCAGAAACGGAAAUCGGAUAUCGAUUCAUCACAUCUCUCUCUUGUAAUCUCCGCUAAUUAGCUCCAAAAGGCGCAUUCAUCUCAUUAACGAAACGAGUGCGCUGCCGAAAGCCGUGACUGCGCUCUCCGUGCAACGCAAUGAACAUGUAAAAAGAGAUCUCUAGUUAUCGAUCGGAUGCCCGAUCACUCGAUCAGCAACCGCGUGGACCGUCGUGGACACCCGACGUACUGCGAGUGUGGCGAGGUGACCAGGCCCUUAUGACGACGCGAGGAGACGGCCGAGAGUGCCCUGGCCACGUCGCAGUCUGACUUCUAGGCCUUGAUCACUCUUCCCGCCCUCGACCGUCCUUCCGACCUUCCGGCCGCAAUCCCUCGCUCGAAUUCCGCAUGUUUUCCGGCAGCACUUCAUUCCGACCGUCCCCACUCGGCACCAACAUACAGACACACACACACACAAACACACACACAAACACACACACACACACACACACAAACACACACACACACACACACACGUGUACAAACGAACAUUAGCGUUUACACGCAUAUGUAAACACGCAAGCGCACACGAACACACCGAACACGAGGUGCAGGAACAAGGAAAUGAUCCUUCGAUCCUCCCGAGAACUCGUCCGCCGACUAUAAAGAGUAGAGGCAGUAAUUGCUGCACGGUUACUGCGAUGUUACCACAUGGUUACCGCGUGGUUAAUUGGUACAAGGGCGAUUCGCAGGUAGUAAUUACCGGCGACUGCACGAGCACCCGGUGGUAAUUGAGCGGUGCGACGAUUGAUGUGAUUAUGAAAAGCACGCACGGCAUCGAAAAAGACGUCGCGCGCUCGCGCGUGGUGUGCGUAUCGCGCGAUCUAAAGGCAGGUACGUACAAAUUGGUCAUCGUGUACAGGACGAGAAUAAUUUGGCGCUAAAAUGUACGAUGUUAUGUAUUACGGUAUUACGUGUUGAAUGACGUUUUGUAAACUAUUAAAUAACGUACUGGAAAUGUUUCUUCGUGAGUGACAUCAUGGAAGAUGCCUUCUUAAGCAGGAGAGAGAGGAGCACGAGUCUUUCUCUCUCUCUCAAAAAUUAUUGUUUUUUUUUAUAUAUAUAUAAUAAAUGUGACAAGAGAGUAAGGUACUCUUAACAAUUGGAACUCGAACAGUGCUAUGAGAUAAGACAUGAUAAUCACAACUGCCCAUUUAAUUGAAAAGGAGGAAGGAACCGCGGUCCCUUAAAAUUGUCAAGUAUUCCGUGACUUUUAAUCUUCCGUACCGUAAAACAAUCACCGUUCGCCUACGUGCGCACUAAUUAGUUUCCGUUUGACGAUACUGAGCGCUUUGAAUUCUCCCCGGCGUUAUAUGCAGAAUUUCAAUUCGGCAAUCAAUAUUUGCCGAUCAGCCCGGGGUAUAGCAGAGCGCACACAUCAUCGAAAUUUAUGAAACGACAAAACGUAUAAUGCUCCUCAAAUAUUUUCGACAAAUAAAAAUUCAUGCCGCGAGCAAAAUUGUGCUGCUGCUGCUGCUGUUGCACGUGAAAUUUUGGAAAUGCCGAAUGAGCGUAAACGCAACGUACUGAUUGUAUAACCAGCCCGUACUCACACACGUUUAUUCCAAGUUUCCUGCCACGAAUGGCGAGGUGAAUGCGUCCCAAUUGGUUCCGCACGUGGUUGGAAAAGUCUACGUCCGCAAAAUUAGGAUCCGAGGAUCACGUGCGAGCCCUUCCGAAUUUCAGUGCUGCAGUCAUGAUUAGGCCACGAGAAUGUCGGGCGUACUAAAGUGCUUAUGUUUUCAUUUUACAGAAUAAAUGAUAAACGUUC